UCCCUCUCAUAUAAAGCUAAAUUCUUUCCUUCUUCCUUCCUCAGAAGAAAAAAGAAAAGAAAAGAAAUAUAUGCCCAGAAUUAAGAAAUGAGAAAUUUUUUCCUGUACGAGGAGGAUUUCUGCAGCGACUUCCAUCAUCGAAACUGGUGCAAAUAGAAAAUGGAGUUGGGUAAGCUACUAUUACCUUCACAUCUUUUCCCAACCCUUCACUCUCCCAUCUUUAUGUCAAAUCAAGAAAUAUUUUACCACCAAAUUCUUCAAGUUUCAACUUUGAAGCAGUAGUAACAUGAUGUUUCAUCAAAACCCGGAGUCAAUAUUUGAUUUUUUUCCCCUGUUCGAAGUUGGUAUUUGUUAAAUUAAAGCAGGUUUCUUGUAAGUGCAACCAAGGUUAUGGUUCACCUCCAUGUAUGAGUUGGUUGGGUUGGAUCUCAAAGAAUGUGGGGAAAAAUGGUUUCUUGAGAG
rnacentral:lncRNA from 1 species